AGACUUUAAAAAGCACUCCAGAAGAAAGCA
rnacentral:piRNA from 1 species